rnacentral:rRNA from 1 species
ACAAGCGGUGGAGUAUGUGGUUUAAUUCGAUGCAACGCGAAGAACUUACCUGGUCUUGACAUCCCGGAGACCCUUAGGAAACUAGGGGGUGCUUCCAUCUGGAAGGAUCUGGAGACAGGUGCUGCAUGGCUGUCGUCAGCUCGUGUCGUGAGAUGUUGGGUUAAGUCCCGCAACGAGCGCAACCCUUGCCUUUAGUUGCCAGCAGUUCGGCUGGGCACUCUAAAGGGACUGCCGGUGUUAAACCGGAGGAAGGUGGGGAUGACGUCAAGUCCUCAUGGCCUUUAUGACCAGGGCUACACACGUACUACAAUGGCCGAUACAAAGGGCAGCGACACUGCGAGGUGAAGCCAAUCCCGUAAAAUCGGUCUCAGUCCGGAUUGGAGUCUGCAACUCGACUCCAUGAAGUUGGAAUCGCUAGUAAUCGUGGAUCAGCAUGCCACGGUGAAUACGUUCCCGGGCCUU